UACGUAGGUGGCAAGCGUUGUCCGGAUUUACUGGGCGUAAAGCGCACGUAGGCGGAUUGUUAAGUCGGGGGUGAAAUCCUGGAGCUCAACUCCAGAACUGCCUUCGAUACUGGCAAUCUCGAGUCCGGAAGAGGGAAGUGGAAUUUCCGGUGUAGCGGUGAAAUGCGUAGAUAUCGGAAGGAACAUCAGUGGCGAAAGCGACUUCCUGGUCCAGCAUCGACGUCAGGCACGAAAGCGUGGGGAGCAAACAGG
rnacentral:rRNA from 1 species